rnacentral:rRNA from 1 species
UGGGGAAUUUUGGACAAUGGGGGCAACCCUGAUCCAGCAACGCCGCGUGAAUGAAGAAGGCCUUAGGGUUGUAAAGUUCUUUUGUCUGGGAGCAAAGGCCAAAUGUGAAUAGCAUUUGGAGAUGAGAGUACCAGAAGAAUAAGCACCGGCUAACUACGUGCCAGCAGCCGCGGUAAUACGUAGGGUGCAAGCGUUAAUCGGAAUUACUGGGCGUAAGGCGUGCGCAGGCGGAUAUAUAAGUUAGAUGUGAAAUACCUGAGCUUAACUUGGGAGGUGCAUUUAAGACUGUAUAUCUAGAGUUUGUCAGAGGGGGGUAGAAUUCCAAGUGUAGCAGUGAAAUGCGUAGAGAUUUGGAGGAAUACCAGUGGCGAAGGCGGCCCCCUGGGAUAAAACUGACGCU